UACAGAGGUCUCAAGCGUUGUUCGGAUUCAUUGGGCGUAAAGGGUGCGUAGGCGGCGCGGUAAGUCGGGUGUGAAAUCUCGGAGCUUAACUCCGAAACUGCAUUCGAUACUGCCGUGCUUGAGGACUGGAGAGGAGACUGGAAUUUACGGUGUAGCGGUGAAAUGCGUAGAUAUCGUAAGGAAGACCAGUGGCGAAGGCGGGUCUCUGGACAGUUCCUGACGCUGAGACACGAAGGUCAGGGGAGCAAACGGG
rnacentral:rRNA from 1 species